rnacentral:rRNA from 1 species
CUGGCUCAGGAUGAACGCUAGCGGCAGGCUUAACACAUGCAAGUCGAGGGGCAGCAUAAUGGAUAGCAAUAUCUAUGGUGGCGACCGGCGCACGGGUGCGUAACGCGUAUGCAACCUACCUUUAACAGGGGGAUAACACUGAGAAAUUGGUACUAAUACCCCAUAAUAUCAUAGAAGGCAUCUUUUAUGGUUGAAAAUUCCGAUGGUUAGAGAUGGGCAUGCGUUGUAUUAGCUAGUUGGUGGGGUAACGGCUCACCAAGGCGACGAUACAUAGGGGGACUGAGAGGUUAACCCCCCACACUGGUACUGAGACACGGACCAGACUCCUACGGGAGGCAGCAGUGAGGAAUAUUGGUCAAUGGACGCAAGUCUGAACCAGCCAUGCCGCGUGCAGGAUGACGGCUCUAUGAGUUGUAAACUGCUUUUGUACGAGGGUAAACGCAGAUACGUGUAUCUGUCUGAAAGUAUCGUACGAAUAAGGAUCGGCUAACUCCGUGCCAGCAGCCGCGGUAAUACGGAGGAUUCAAGCGUUAUCCGGAUUUAUUGGGUUUAAAGGGUGCGUAGGCGGUUUGAUAAGUUAGAGGUGAAAUUUCGGGGCUCAACCCUGAACGUGCCUCUAAUACUGUUGAGCUAGAGAGUAGUUGCGGUAGGCGGAAUGUAUGGUGUAGCGGUGAAAUGCUUAGAGAUCAUACAGAACACCGAUUGCGAAGGCAGCUUACCAAACUAUAUCUGACGUUGAGGCACGAAAGCGUGGGGAGCAAACAGGAUUAGAUACCCUGGUAGUCCACGCAGUAAACGAUGAUAACUCGUUGUCGGCGAUACACAGUCGGUGACUAAGCGAAAGCGAUAAGUUAUCCACCUGGGGAGUACGUUCGCAAGAAUGAAACUCAAAGGAAUUGACGGGGGCCCGCACAAGCGGAGGAACAUGUG